rnacentral:rRNA from 1 species
ACGAAGGCUCUAGCUUGCUAGAUGUCCUUAGUGGCGAACGGGUGAGUAACGCGUGGGAACCUACCGAGAAGUGGGGAAUAACUAUUGGAAACGAUAGCUAAUACCGCAUACCUCCUGAGGGAGAAAGGCUUCGGCCGCUUUUUGAUGGUCCCGCGUCUGAUUAGCUUGUUGGUGAGGUAACGGCUCACCAAGGCGACGAUCAGUAGCUGGUCUGAGAGGAUGAUCAGCCACACUGGGACUGAGACACGGCCCAGACUCCUACGGGAGGCAGCAGUGGGGAAUAUUGGACAAUGGGCGAAAGCCUGAUCCAGCCAUGCCGCGUGAGUGAAGAAGGCCUUAGGGUUGUAAAACUCUUUCAACGGUGAAGAUGAUGACUGUAGCCGUAGAAGAAGCCCCGGCUAACUCCGUGCCAGCAGCCGCGGUAAUACGGAGGGGGCUAGCGUUGUUCGGAAUUACUGGGCGUAAAGCGCAUGUAGGUGGUGUGGCAAGUUAGAGGUGAAAGGCCUGGGCUCAACCUGGGAACUGCCUUUAAUACUGUCAUACUAGAGUUCGGGAGAGGGUAGCGGAAUUCCAAGUGUAGAGGUGAAAUUCGUAGAUAUUUGGAAGAAC